AAGGAGUCUAACAUCUAUGCGAGUGUUUGGGUGUCAAGCCCGAGCGCGUAAUGAAAGUGAACGGAGGUGGGAACCCGCAAGGGUGCACCAUCGACCGAUCCUGAAGUUUACGGAAGGAUUUGAGUAAGAGCAUGGCUGUUGGGACCCGAAAGAUGGUGAACUAUGCUUGAAUAGGGUGAAGCCAGAGGAAACUCUGGUGGAGGCUCGCAGCGGUUCUGACGUGCAAAUCGAUCGUCAAAUUUGGGCAUAGGGGCGAAAGACUAAUCGAACUAUCUAGUAGCUGGUUCCUGC
rnacentral:misc_RNA from 1 species